rnacentral:rRNA from 16 species
CCUGGCGGCACUAGCGCGGUGGUCCCACCUGACCCCAUGCCGAACUCAGAAGUGAAACGCCGUAGCGCCGAUGGUAGUGUGGGGUCUC